rnacentral:lncRNA from 1 species
CUCUUCUCAGUUCGACUACAUGUGCAUCAAUAAUUGUCUUACACUAUUAAAUUAAAAAAAAAAUUUCAAAUACGAUUCUGUAAUUUUAUAUUUUUUUAUUUUAGUAUUCUGUAAUUUAAAAUAUGUUAAUUUAAUACCAUAUGAUUUUAUUUUUUUUAUUAUUAAUUUUAGUAAUUUUUUUCGUUAAAUCAGUGACAAAAUUAAAACUAAAGAGUACUAAAAUGAAUAUGCUAUAAAUUUUGGUGGAAUAUCUGAAGUUUUUUUAUAUAUAAUUUAAUGAAAUAUUAAUGAAAAAGCCGACGAAAAGAUAAAAAUAAAAUCACAGGACACUAACUUGAUACACUUUAAACCACAUUGCACUAAAAUGAGAAAGUAUAAAACCACGGGACGGUAUUUGAAGUUUACUCUAA